rnacentral:rRNA from 1 species
UACGAAGGGGCUAGCGUUGUUCGAAAUUACUGGGCGUAAAGCGCGCGCAGGCGGCUAUCCAAGUCAGUGGUGAAAGCCCCGGGAGCUCAACUCCGGAACUGCCAUUGAAACGUGUUUAGCUUGAGGAUGAGAGAGGUGAGUGGAAUUCCCAGUGUAGAGGUGAAAUUCGUAGAUAUUGGGAAGAACACCGGUGGCGAAGGCGGCUCACUGGCUCAUUAACUGACGCUCGAGGCGCGACAGCGUGGGGAGCAAACAGG